CCCUUCAACGGCUUCCUGCCUGCCCCCGUCUGCCACGCCAUGGACCCCCAGCUCAGGGGCCUGCUGGAGACAGAGAUGGCAGCCCGGGACCUGGCCGGAGAGGAGGGGCCCCAGAUGCCUCGCUCAGCCAGGCCAGGAGGAAGCUUCCAGCACUUCUGAGCAGAAGAUUCUCCCCGGACGUCUGAGGAGAGCUGGGCUCCAGCUGCCGCCUGCGGAAGCCAGAGGGCUCAGAUGGCCAUCCGGAUCAAGUGUACUCACGUGUGGCCUCUCAGAACCCGCCGACGGGGGUAGAGGCGCCUGGCCCAGCCCUCCGAGGGUCUGGAAGCAUAAAUGGGAGAGGGCUUCUGGGAAAACAAAGUUGAACUGG